CCCUUAGAUGUCCUGGGCUGCACGCGCGCUACACUGAUGUGUCCAGUAAGCACCUAACCUCUUCCGAAAGGAACGGGUAACCUUUGCAAAGCACAUCGUGAUGGGGAUAGAUUAUUGCAAUUAUUAGUCUUGAACGAGGAAUUCCUAGUAAGCACAAGUCAUCAGCUUGUGUUGAUUACGUCCCUGCCCUUUGUACACACCGCCCGUCGCUCCUACCGAUUGAAUGGUCCGGUGAAGCCUCGGGAUUGUGGUUCUUGCCGCUUUAUUGUGGCGUGACCGCGAGAACUUGUCUAAACCUUAUCAUCUAGAGGAAGGUGAAGUCGUAACA
rnacentral:rRNA from 1 species